GCCGGAUUAGCACAGUGGUAGUGCAGCGGUUUUGUAAACCGAAGGCCGGGAGUUCGAAUCUCUCAUCCGGCA
rnacentral:tRNA from 1 species